CCGAGUCUCCGACUCCCAAACCACUGUGAACCUACCUCUCUCGCGCUCCGCCGGGUCGGCCCCGGGGGGUCGGUAGCCGCUAGGCACCCGGCGGAGCCCCAGGAAAAUUCUCUCAGCGAGCUUCUGAGUCUGUCUCUAAAGAGUCA
rnacentral:misc_RNA from 1 species